UACGAAGGGGGCUAGCGUUGCUCGGAAUUACUGGGCGUAAAGGGAGCGUAGGCGGGUCGUCAAGUUGGGGGUGAAAUCCCGAGGCUCAACCUCGGAACUGCCUUUGAUACUGGAGAUCUUGAGUCCGGAAGAGGUAAGUGGAACUGCGAGUGUAGAGGUGAAAUUCGUAGAUAUUGGGAAGAACACCGGUGGCGAAGGCGGCGACCUGGUCCUUUACUGACGCUGAGGCGCGAAAGCGUGGGGAGCAAACAGG
rnacentral:rRNA from 1 species